rnacentral:ncRNA from 2 species
GUCUUAUCGAGAGAAGGGGAGGGACUGGCCCGAUGAACCUUCAGCAACCUGACGAUCGUCAAGGUGCUAAGUCCAGCAAGCGAUUCGCUUGGAAGAUAAGAA